GGAGGCUGGCGGCGGACGGACCCCUCGCCAACCCGGUCAGGUCUGGAAGGAAGCAGCCGUAACGAGUUUCGGUCCGGGUCGUUUGUCCAGCCUCCCAC
rnacentral:SRP_RNA from 1 species